UCCGAUUUGACACCGGCAGUCUCGCUAGAGUCCCCGCCUUGACGCGGUGGCAACUAACGACAGGGGUUUCGCUCGUUAAGGGACUUAACCCGACACUUCACAGCACGAGCUGACGACAGCCAUGCAGCACCUGUGCACGUUGUACCCUUGCGGGCCUGGCUCGCCUUUCGGCGAGUUAAUCCGUGCAUGUCAAGCCUAGGAUAAGGUUCUUCGCGUUGCUUCGAAUUGAGCCACAUGCUCCACCGCUUGUGUGAGCCCCCGUCAAUUCCUUUGAGUUUUAGCCUUGCGACCGUACUCCCCAGGCGGUGCACUUACCACUUUUGCUUCGACCCUGAGGACGUCAGAGCCUCCAGGAUCUAGUGCACAUCGUUUACGGCGUGGACUAC
rnacentral:misc_RNA from 1 species